rnacentral:rRNA from 1 species
ACUCGGGGAUAGCCUUUCGAAAGAAAGAUUAAUACCCGAUGGCAUAGUUCUUCCGCAUGGUAGAACUAUUAAAGAAUUUCGGUCAUCGAUGGGGAUGCGUUCCAUUAGGUUGUUGGCGGGGUAACGGCCCACCAAGCCUUCGAUGGAUAGGGGUUCUGAGAGGGAGGUCCCCCACAUUGGAACUGAGACACGGUCCAAACUCCUACGGGAGGCAGCAUG